rnacentral:rRNA from 1 species
AUGGCGAAAGCUAUACCACAAUCAUUCCCAAACACCGUCCACAAGCUAUGCCGUUGGCACAUCCUGAAGAAGUACAAGGAAUACCUCGCGUUGUUGUACAAAAAGUACAAAACAUUCAAAGAGGAGUUCACAACUAUAUUAAACUGGCCGCUGAUGCCAACGGAGUUUGAAACUGCCUGGGCUGAACUCGUGCACAACGAGAGCAUGAACCAUGUGCUCAAGAGAGGGUUUGUCAAGGGGACCCAGAACCUACACAAGUUUGCUAGGCGGGUAAAUGCUUGCAUACAAACUCGGAUACAGAAGGAGAAUGAGCAAACAAUGACCAGCAUGACCAAUCCUGUGACAAAAACAACAUACGGCUAUGAGGAAGACAUGUCUAUCAAGUACACGAGAGCUGUGUACAACGAGAUGAGGACUAGGAUGAGAAAAUCCACGCUAUUUCGUGCAAAGCCUACAACAGAGCCCACUAAGUACCUUGUGUACUACCACAAUAAGGCUGGCCAUGAUGAUGAAGAAAUAUUUUCCUGGUCAAAGCAUGAAUUCUAG